rnacentral:rRNA from 1 species
GCAAGAUUAAAACUCAAAGGAAUAGACGGGGACCCGCACAAGUGGUGGAGCAUGUGGUUUAAUUCGAAGAUACGCGAAGAACCUUACCUAGCCUUGACAUAUUUUAGAACUCACCAGAGAUGGAGAGGUGCCUUCGGGAGCUAAUUUACAGGUGCUGCACGGCUGUCGUCAGCUCGUGUCGUGAGAUGUUGGGUUAAGUCCCGCAACGAGCGCAACCCUCGUCACUAGUUACUAACGGUUCGGCCGAGGACUCUAGUGAGACUGCCUUCGUAAGAAGGAGGAAGGUGAGGACGACGUCAAGUCAUCAUGGCCCUUACGGCUAGGGCAACACACGUGCUACAAUGGCCAGGACAGUGAGAAGCGAUACCGCGAGGUGGAGCAAAUCUAUAAACCUGGUCUCAGUUCGGAUUGUAGUCUGCAACUCGACUACAUGAAGCUGGAAUCACUAGUGAUCGUAGAUCAGCUAUGCUACGGUGAAUACGUUCCCGGGUCUUGUACUCACCGCCCGUCACACCAUGGGAGUUGAUUUCACCCGAAGCGGGGAAGCUAAACUGGCUACCCUCCACGGUGGAAUUAGCGACUGGGGUGAAGUCGUAACAAGGUA